CGUAGGGUGCAAGCGUUGUCCGGAAUUAUUGGGCGUAAAGAGCUCGUAGGCGGUUUGUCGCGUCUGCUGUGAAAACCCGAGGCUCAACCUCGGGCCUGCAGUGGGUACGGGCAGACUAGAGUGCGGUAGGGGAGAUUGGAAUUCCUGGUGUAGCGGUGAAAUGCGCAGAUAUCAGGAGGAACACCGGUGGCGAAGGCGGGUCUCUGGGCCGAUACUGACGCUGAGGAGCGAAAGCGUGGGGAGCGAACAGG
rnacentral:rRNA from 1 species